AACGGUGAACACGGAGCUUGCUCUGUGGGAUCAGUGGCGAACGGGUGAGUAACACGUGAGCAACCUGCCCCUGACUCUGGGAUAAGCGCUGGAAACGGCGUCUAAUACUGGAUAUGUGACGUGACCGCAUGGUCUGCGUCUGGAAAGAAUUUCGGUUGGGGAUGGGCUCGCGGCCUAUCAGCUUGUUGGUGAGGUAAUGGCUCACCAAGGCGUCGACGGGUAGCCGGCCUGAGAGGGUGACCGGCCACACUGGGACUGAGACACGGCCCAGACUCCUACGGGAGGCAGCAGUGGGGAAUAUUGCACAAUGGGCGCAAGCCUGAUGCAGCAACGCCGCGUGAGGGACGACGGCCUUCGGGUUGUAAACCUCUUUUAGCAGGGAAGAAGCGAAAGUGACGGUACCUGCAGAAAAAGCGCCGGCUAACUACGUGCCAGCAGCCGCGGUAAUACGUAGGGCGCAAGCGUUAUCCGGAAUUAUUGGGCGUAAAGAGCUCGUAGGCGGUUUGUCGCGUCUGCUGUGAAAUCCGGAGGCUCAACCUCCGGCCUGCAGUGGGUACGGGCAGACUAGAGUGCGGUAGGGGAGAUUGGAAUUCCUGGUGUAGCGGUGGAAUGCGCAGAUAUCAGGAGGAACACCGAUGGCGAAGGCAGAUCUCUGGGCCGUAACUGACGCUGAGGAGCGAAAGGGUGGGGAGCAAACAGGCUUAGAUACCCUGGUAGUCCACCCCGUAAACGUUGGGAACUAGUUGUGGGGUCCAUUCCACGGAUUCCGUGACGCAGCUAACGCAUUAAGUUCCCCGCCUGGGGAGUACGGCCGCAAGGCUAAAACUCAAAGGAAUUGACGGGGACCCGCACAAGCGGCGGAGCAUGCGGAUUAAUUCGAUGCAACGCGAAGAACCUUACCAAGGCUUGACAUAUACGAGAACGGGCCAGAAAUGGUCAACUCUUUGGACACUCGUAAACAGGUGGUGCAUGGUUGUCGUCAGCUCGUGUCGUGAGAUGUUGGGUUAAGUCCCGCAACGAGCGCAACCCUCGUUCUAUGUUGCCAGCACGUAAUGGUGGGAACUCAUGGGAUACUGCCGGGGUCAANUCGGAGGAAGGUGGGGAUGACGUCAAAUCAUCAUGCCCCUUAUGUCUUGGGCUUCMGCAUGCUACAUGGCCGGUACAAGGGCUGCAAUACC
rnacentral:rRNA from 1 species